AUAAGAUUUGUGAAUUUGCUAGUUCACCAAAUUUACCUAUUUUUGGAUUGACCCAGGAUUGGGCCCGGAAUGACCACACAAUGACAGCAAUUGUGUGAGAUAAUCUCUUGUGAAUUAACAUGAAUACGCAUGAUUGGGCUUGGGAUGGCACUGGAUUGGCAUUGGUUUGCCUGGAAGUUUUCAUUGUGUGAUAAUGGCCGUAGCUGGAUCUCAAAGAACCCAGAGAAUCAAUGCCCUGCUCUGAGGAAUCUGAAGAACCCACCCACUUUGGUGUAAGGAUACUUCACAGUGAGACAUUAAAUGGACAGGUGUUCCAAAGAGACUGCUUGUCUGAUAUCUUGAGGGGGUUGGACAAAUUCAUGGAGGAUAGGGCCUUCAAGUGCUACUAGUCAUGAUGGAAAUAUAUUGCAUCUAGAGAAAUGUCUUGCCUAUGGAGAUCUUGUUCCCAGGACUACCCACAGGGAAAAAAGGGAUACACCAGUCCAUCUGAAGUCAAAGUGGAUAUGCAAAUGAAAAGUAAUAUGCCCAUUUAACAAGAGGCAGAAAUGUCGGGCAUUAUGGAUGAAGAACUGGAUAGUAAAUAUGGAUCCCUUAUUUGAUAGAUGAUAACCACAGCAAGAAUAUUGUUUGCUUAAAUGUGGAAAUGGACAGAAGCACAGACGAUGGAAGAAUGGAUUGUUAAUGUUGCUGAGUUAACAAAAAUGGCCAUAUUAAUGUGGAUCCUAAAGGAUAAGCCAACUGAAGACUUUUCAAAAGACUGGAAACCAUUAAUGGAAUUUUGAGCAACAAGAAAUCUAACUAUGUAAUAGUCUGUGGCUAUGGUUAUUAGUGAUUUAGUAGAAUUGUUCAUUUGGAACUAUAACAGUAGAAUAAAUAUUUCCUUUUUCUUACAGUAGAUCAGAGAUCUACUGUCUAUUAGUUGCAUA